rnacentral:lncRNA from 1 species
GACACUCUAAGCACAUGAAACUGUCAAGCUCGAUAUUCCACAUGCGACGCUCUAACUAUACUCCUCAAAGUCAGGGGACACGAGCUCUCCCGAGUAAUGAUCAACAUUGGAAAUUCAAUUGGCGUUAUCUUUUACGACGCAUUCAAAGGACGAGUUUCCCCAAAACCCUUCUAAGACAAGAAUUUACGCCGCUAAUUGUCUUCAAUGAAGUAAACGAACUCGCCGUACAGCAAGGAGAAAUCAUCAAACAAUAAAUGAUCAUAAAGGAGCAAGAAUCUCAAGGAUGUCAAACAUGAUAAACGACUUCCAUGACCUUUAUUUGUGUAGACACCGAGAUCGCUAUCCCGACCUGGAAUGAUUGAUUAUAGAUCCAACCAUGACCACUAUAAGCAUGAUCCACAACGAAGAAACUAAGCCGCCCUCCCACUCACUAGAUGCAGGAGGCAAACAGGCUAACCACCAGAUCCGAUGGAAUCAGACAUCACACUUGAUCUCACAAGAUAAAAAUUCGUGAGGUCCCGUGUCAACUUCGAUAAUUACAGUAGUACCAAAAUCUCAGACACUC